CCUCCCGCGAACAAACGAUUAGGACCCACUUGCAGGCCUCACGGCCCCACAGGACCGCGCAGAGCCAAGGAAGACGCGCGGCCAAACCAGACCCACGCGAACGCGGACACUCACGCGCCCCGACACUCUCGGGCUCAGACUCUCCCAGGUCCUCACGGCUGGCCCGCCGGGAGCACCCGGACGCCCCACCUGGUGCCCUGCCCGCCCCACCGCACGGGCCAACGUCGCCGGUCCAGGCCCAGACGCUGGAAGGUAACGUCGGGAGGCUUGGUUUUCCCGGGGUCAUUAUUUGCCUCAAAUCAACAGGAGCAAGAGAACGGGACUCGUGAGAGAUGCGGAAACAAUGAAGAUGCCUGGCGCCUUGGAGGACGCGGAACUCCUGUCUCCGAGGAAGAGAACCCUUGAGGGGACGUUAGGUCGGGGCACCCAUGUUGCAGGUUCAGACUUUCACAGGUGUUAGGUCCCUAGGGGAGUUGGCAGAGGGAAGCUUUUGGGGGAACUUACAGCCAUGGGGUUCACCAAAAUAUACCCAAGGUGCUGCCCAAGGAAAGACAAUGGCUUCCUAUGGCCAAUACCCACUGUAAACUCAACUUUUCUGCAAAAGUCUAUUUGGGAGGAGAAUGAGCUAAAUACUUAGGUGGGUAUUUACUUCCAGUGGUAUAUACUUUCACUGCUCUUUCUGGAAGAAUAUGUGAAGAGUUUCUGUGCAAAUUUCUUUUAAAAAGCUGACCAAGAUUCUCCUGGUGGCACUGGAGAGGCUAGCAAAAGAAGUCAAAGUUUGGGGAAGUCACAAUGCUUCCCAACCAUCCUCAUGACACAAGUGGAAAAUAGUAAUAUUUGUAUGGCACACUGGAUUGUAUAUAUUAGGGAGUAAAUUGAGCUGACAUAAUAAAGAUCCCAAAAUACAGUGACCUGAAUAACGUAUCUUUAUUCCUCCCUCACGUAACGGGUGGGCAAUCCCCAGCUGGUAAGAUAGCCUUGCCCUCCUGAAUAAAUGUUUUUCAUCUUUCGGGCAAGAAGGUUCUUAAAAUUCUCAUAUCCAAGCCAACACGGCAGGGAGGGCAGCAGAAGCAGAAACAAUACUUCCUAGAGUUGCAACCCAGGAUAUUAUCAAGAAAGUAAAAAGAUAACCUACAGAAAUGGGAGAAAAAAAUCUUAAAUCUAAAUACAGGAUGAGGUUUUAGUAUCUAAUUCAUAUUAAGGAUUCUUUAAGACUGAACAAGGCAAACAGCCAAAUUAAAAUUUGAGCAAAGAACUGGACUAGACAUUUCUCCAAAGAAGAUACACAGUGUCCAACAAGCAUAUGAAAAGAUGUUUAACUAGUUAAUCUUUAGGAAAUGCAAAUCAAAACCACAGGUAUCAUUUCACAUGUAAUAGGAUGGCUAUGAUUUUUUAAAAGGAAAGUGAAGUGUUAUUGAUGUGGAGAAUUGGAAAUCAUCACAUCACACAGAGAGCUCUGAGAAACUUCAGGUUUGUACAGAAGGGCCUAGGACCAUUGUUUGGGAUUCAACCCAUAUACAAGGGAUGAAUUCACAGUUUUAUCUCCCAUUAGCAACUAUCUCUCAGACCAUUCAAUUUCCUGUGCUUGAUUUUAUCAUUAGUAAUUUCUGUGUUAACUCUUUGUAUAUGUUACAUUCUUUGAAGAAAUUUUCACAAAAUCUUAAAAGGCUGGAAUUAUUCUGGUUGUUCAGAUGACUAAACUGUGCCUGAAAGAAAGCAAAUCACUUCAAGUUCUCCUAACCUAAAGGGUUAACACUAUACAUAGGUCUUAUUCCAAAGCCCAUACUUAGGCCAAUAAUCAAAAAAAUAGAUACUUCCACUACUAUUUCUGGAAGAAUAUGUAAAGAGUUUCUGUGAAAAUACCUUUUAAAAUGCUGACCAAGAAGGUAACUCAUCCUCCUUAUCACUGAAGUACAGGAAAUCAUCUCAUGGCUUCAAAGAAUUUUAUCCACCAUCUAAUUUUAUCCACCUGAGCUCUAUGAAUAAAGAAGAAAAUCUUAUUAGAUAUAGCAAAUUGAUGUGUAAGUAGACACUAAAAAUCAAUGUGAAAGCAUGUACUUAAAGGGAAGCAUUUAGUCCAGCUGUCUCUAAAAAGGGUUAGGUCAAAAUGGCAGCAAAUUUGUUAAAAAUCCCUGCACAGUCCUACCAUUCAAGUAUAGGAGCUGCUAAAAAGGCCCAGGAGUGCUGGAGAUGUAGCUCAGGGGUACAGUGCUUAUCUAACAUACACAAAGCCAAGGGUUCAAUCCCCAGUACCACAUGUACACAGUACAGCAUAAAGGACCAAGACUUUAUGGAAAAUAAU
ensembl:lincRNA